AGAUUGAACGCUGGCGGCAGGCCUAACACAUGCAAGUCGAGCGGCAGCACGGGUACUUGUACCUGGUGGCGAGCGGCGGACGGGUGAGUAAUGCCUAGGAAUCUGCCUGGUAGUGGGGGAUAACGCUCGGAAACGGACGCUAAUACCGCAUACGUCCUACGGGAGAAAGCAGGGGACCUUCGGGCCUUGCGCUAUCAGAUGAGCCUAGGUCGAUUAGCUAGUUGGCGAGGUAACGGCUCACCAAGGCAACGACGGGUAGC
rnacentral:rRNA from 1 species